AUCAUGCAUCACAUUCCUCUGAUACAUAUCUUUUUUUUCUGUUGGAAACUAGUUCGCCAUUUCUUAUGGAGAUCAGAGAAGAGAUGGCUGUAUGUACAUAUUAUGCAGCCACGUUUGAUUUCGAAUUGUAAUCUCUCCCUUGUGAAAGAUUCACGAGCGUUGAAUGUAACAGCCAGAGAAUCGAGAGCUGUGAGGACGGAGACAAGAAGGAAGAAAUGAUGACUCUUCAACGCAUUUUAUUACAAAUUCCGUUCGUCAAAUGGCAAAGAUAACGAAAUGAAACAAGUUCCUCAAGGCGCUGUAGAUAUCCAAAGAUAACUUGAUAACAGUAGUAACAAUAAUGAACACAAUUCGAAGGAGACGAAGCAUCUUGCUAAUUAUAUGGAAUUAUUUUAUAAGUGUAACAAAAGAUACAUUCGAAGGAUAAAAAAACAAAUCGCGAAAUGAAGACACACUGCAUUAAAACAACUCUGUGACGAGGCAAACUUUCCUGGAUAGUUGCUCGUAAUUUUUUGUUUCGCGAACAAAACUGGCCACUUUUAUCAAUGAAUUCGCCUCGAAGCACGGAGGAAAACUCGGGUUGUGUAGAAGGGACCACUCGCUAGUUGUGUCUAUGAUAAUAUUUGGUUAAACAAUUUCACAAGUCUAGAGGAAUCUUAUAACUCUUUUUCAUGCGUGAUUUUUAUACGAUUUCAGAGAAAAAUUGAAGAUGAAUACGAAAAUAACGAUCCCCUGGUAUCCGCAAUAUUAAUUAUCUUUUAACAAGAUAAUCUUACCAUCUGUCCGAAGGAACUCGAGUAAUUCUAUUGUAUGCGUCACAAAUCACUCGAACACUUUGCAUAUAACUAGGAAUAAUUGUCUUUAGAUCGUUAUCAGGACGGAUCAGUUUGUUCGAAAAAUGUUAUAUGAAUGUUACUUUUUCGUGUAACACGUAUGUCUCCGAGUCGUAAAUUUUCUUGCUUGUUGAAUAAAAUUGGCGUAUUUUUAGUAAUAAAACUAUGCAAAUUAGAAAUGACUGUAAAUUAUCUCAGUAAGCAAGCUGGGCAUUUUCAUUAAUUUGCAA